AGAGGAGGCGAUCGGGGCUGAAAGGAUGAACAGCUCUGAAGACCAACAAACCUUGGUCUUCCCUUUGCUUUGAGGGCCAGGGGCUGGUUUCUAAGACAGGGUGUGAAUUCCCGCCCAACCCUCGCCCCCACUUCGCCCCUGAAAACCUAAAUCGUGUAGGUUAGAGUGGGAGACCUCGCCUCUCCACAGGGCUGGUGUUGACUACAGCAAGGGACCCAUCCAAGUCCAAAAGCCAAUUGUGUAUUUACAGCAUGGUCUGCUUGUAACUGCCAGUAUCUGGAUUUCCAAUCUUUCCAACAGUAGCCUGGGCUUCAUUCUGGCAGAUGCUGGUUAUGAUGUGUGGAUGGGAAACAGCAGGGGAAAUAAGUGGUCCAAGAAACAUAUGUACCUAGAAACAGAUUCCAAAGAAUUCUGGGCCUUCAGCUUUGAUUAAAUGGCUAAAUGUGACCUUCCAUUCUCAGUCAACUUACUUUUAAAUAAAACUGGACAGGAGAAGUUACACUAUGCUGGCCAUUCCCAGGGCACCACCAAUGACUGAGAUGAUUUCCUACUGGGGUUACCCAAGUGAAAUGCAUGAAGUUUUAACUGCAGAUGGUUACAUCCUUCCACUGCACCAGAUUCCUCAUGGGAAGAAUGACGCUAAUCAUUUAGAUAGGACUGGAGUGAGUUGGAAAAUGAAAGCCUUCAAGUCCCAAAUCAAAUAUAU